UACGUAGGGUCCGAGCGUUGUCCGGAAUUAUUGGGCGUAAAGAGCUCGUAGGCGGUCCGUUAAGUCGGAAGUGAAAUCUCAAGGCUCAACCUUGAAAUCGCUUUCGAUACUGGCGGGCUUGAAUCCGGGAGAGGGAUGCGGAAUUCCAGGUGUAGCGGUGAAAUGCGUAGAUAUCUGGAGGAACACCGGUGGCGAAGGCGACAUCCUGGACCGGCAUUGACGCUGAGGCGCGAAAGCCAGGGGAGCAAACGGG
rnacentral:rRNA from 1 species